GACGAACGCUGGCGGCGUGCUUAACACAUGCAAGUCGAACGGAAAGGCCCUGCUUUUGUGGGGUGCUCGAGUGGCGAACGGGUGAGUAACACGUGAGUAACCUGCCCUUGACUUUGGGAUAACUUCAGGAAACUGGGGCUAAUACCGGAUAGGAGCUCCUGCUGCAUGGUGGGGGUUGGAAAGUUUCGGCGGUUGGGGAUGGACUCGCGGCUUAUCCGCUUGUUGGUGGGGUAGUGGCUUACAAAGGCUUUGACGGGUAGCCGGCCUGAGAGGGUGACCGGCCACAUUGGGACUGAGAUACGGCCCAGACUGCUACGGGAGGCAGCAGGGGGGAAUAUUGCGCAGUGGGCGGAAGCCUGAGGCAGCAACGCCGGGAGCGGGAUGACGGCCUUCGGGUUGUAAACCGCUUUCGCCUGUGACGAAGCGUGAGUGACGGUAAUGGGUAAAGAAGCACCGGCUAACUACGUG
rnacentral:rRNA from 1 species